UUAAAUUUUUCCAGCACAUUUCAAGACAUUGAAUAAGAUAGUACAAUUAUCUUCCACAGGUACUCACCAAUUAGAUUUAACCGAAGAUUGACCCUAGGUUGAGGAAAUUUCAAUUAGAGUAGAAGAGAAAAUCCGCCCAGACGGUUUCGGUUUAAUAGAAAAUAGUCUCAGGGAAUAGUACAUAUGUGUUAUGUAAAAUGAGUAAGUUUAAGUGUGUACUAAACACUGAAUGACAGUGAUACGAACUUAUAAGCAAAAAACAACAAACAAUGAAAAAUGGCUACUGAAUCUUCAAGAAAAAAGUACAUAAUGGUGAUCUGGAAGUGCUUGGUAAUUUGUUUAUUAAUCAGAUAACAGAAGAAAGAAAAGUGAUUUGAUAUAAAACAAAUCAAUUGGACGUAUAAUGGAUAUUAAUAUAAAACGGCGUUAAAUAAGGAGUAGCAAAAAAUAUAAUGGUUGUUUUGAGUGAUGCAUCGGAAAAACCGUGAACACUUUUAAAUGCGCUAUGAAGACAUCAGGUAUAACAUUAAACAUUGACGUUGCUGAAUUAAUAUUAGUAUUCUCAAUUUAUCAUGUUUCAACUAUCGUUGUUUUUAAUUUGAUUCCCGAAAAUGUAUAAAUAUUAUGAUUUGUCAAAAGGUGCUUUCAGAUCUGUGUAAUAUAAUAUUGCGCCAUAUUUAAUAGUUAUUGAUUUCUAAGACAUAUUGUGCCAUAAACUUCUGUUUUUUUUCAUAAUCUUUGAUAUUAAAACUUAAAGUCACUAUAUGCCUCACAAUGCUGUUAGUUUCAUUUCUCAAACAUUUUUGGUAUCUUGUAAGAUUUCUUAAAAAUAGUGCUCACUCAUUUUCUAUAUAGAACAAUUUUGCGAUUGAAAAGGUUAUUGUGAAUAAGUUUUCGUAUGGAAGUCAAAAUAUUACUUUGUUUACAUUUCCCUGCCUUUAUGACACAUUACUGCACAUCAAGCGAUACUUUCCUCAUCUGUUAAAAUAUACCAUGCUCUAAAUCUAUGAUUUAAACAUUAUUGAACACAUGUUUGUCAUAUCUAAAGAAUUUAAUAAUUAUGGAUUUUAGAGACAUAUUGGGCCUUUAACCUUUUUAAAAUUUUGAUACUAGCGUUUAACACCCGAUAUCUUUCUUUGAAACAUAUCUUUUCCUUAACAUGUUACAAUGUUCAAAUUGAUUUUUAUAUGCGAUUUUCGAUAAUCAGUUAUAAAAUUAUAUAUGAGAUCAGACUUCUUCAUAAAUAAUUUAUUAGUUACCGGUAUUUCAAUUAAUUCGAUGAUUGUGUAACAGUAACCUCAACUUUGUCUUAUUUUGGGUUUGUUACAGGAACAAUGCAUGAAACUUAAAAAUUUAAAUCUUUCUAUGCAUAAUUUUUUAUCGCAAGUUAAAUAAUUAAAAAAAAACAAUAAAAAAACAAAGAAAACACAUAAUUAACAUGGGGAAAAACGAUCAAAUAAAGCUUAUCAGUAAAAAUUCUUUUUAAUAUUAUUAUAAUUGUAAGAACAAUGUAGCCUGGUUGAAAACGGCCUAAUAUUUUUACGAUACUUUUGUUUUUAGAUGAAAAUAAUAGUUUCAUUUCCAGUUAUGUAUUCAUAUUGUCUCCUCUGUUUGUAUUUAUUUAAGUUUAACUUGUGUCGCAUAAUAGUUAUCAUAAUGUUAGAAAGGUAUAUUUUUAUCAUAUUAUUUUUAAAACGCCUUUAUUCUUUUUUCUAUUGAUAGUGUAGACAUUCUCACAAAUUGUGUAACUAGUCAACUAAAAGUUUAACAUUAUUUCUCCGUUAUGCGGCUUGACUACUAGAGGAAUGAUUAAUGUGAAAUCGACUGUCAGUAAAAUGGACAUUAAUUUACAACUAGAGAUUGUACGAUUAGCCUCUAAUGAUAGCUCACAAGAUUUGAAACUUCUUUGAGUAAAGAUAUUUUAGAACAUUGAAUCGGCACUUCUGGAACAUGCAUGCAUAGCUAACAGUUAUCUGUUAAAUGUCUGCAUAAUUUUGAAUACUAUAUCAAAAGUAUUAACAGUUAAAGAGAUGUGUCAUAUUACUAUAAAAAUCUUUUGAAAUUAAACUUUGGUUGAAUUUUAUUUUUUAUUUAUUAUAUAAUUAAGAUAUUCACUCAGCAAUAAAACAAUAGAUUUUCAUGACACCAAUCAAUCACAUUAUUGCAUAUAUAAAUAAUAUUGAUAUACAGCAUUUUUAUUACUUUUUAACAAUUUGAUGUUUUUAAUCACAUUUCAAUUACUUUAUAUUUCAUCAAUAAUUUAUGUAUUUUUUAUUUAUUCAUUUUAAUCAAUCAAUUUAAUUAAUUCGUUCUUUUUGUUUAAUUAUUGUUUUAUUAUCUACUAUUAAUUAAAACAUAAAUAAAUAAAUAAAUUAAUUAAUUAAUUUAAUUAAUUAAUUAAUUUAUUUAUUUAUUUAUUUAUUUAUUCAUAUAGUUAUUUACUUAUCUUAACUAAUUUAUUCAUCCCUUUUUUUAUUUGUUUAUUUAUUACUAAUUUAAAAAAUAAGUAAAACUUUAAAAUCUUCCUAUCAUUAAAUGCUAAAUUAAAUGCUAUACAUGUAUUUUACGAGUAAAUUACAUGUUUAUUUUUUUAAGAAAGCAAAGAUGAUUAUCUUUCACCUAUCUCCCACUUCAAACAACUUUUCUUUGCCCAUACUGAAGUAAUGGGUAAUUUGGAAACACAUCCCGGUAAAUAUAACAGUUAUAUUGUUAAAGCGGAAAAUGUUAUAUGAUAUUUUCGUUAAGAUUUCUAAGCAUAGUAUUAAAAUGAGAAAAAAGGUAAAUGUAAGUUAUAUUUUAGUAUAUUAUACAUGAAAUUAUUUUUUCUCAUUUUAAUAACAU